UGGGCUUGACAUCGAGCGGAAGCUCCUCAGAAACGAGGGGCGUCCUUCGGGACCGCUCGACAGGUGCUGCAUGGCUGUCGUCAGCUCGUGUCGUGAGAUGUUGGGUUAAGUCCCGCAACGAGCGCAACCCCCGCUCCCAGUUGCUACCGGGUCAAGCCGAGGACUCUGGGAGGACUGCCGGUGCCAAACCGGAGGAAGGUGGGAUGACGUUGAACGGUUGGUU
rnacentral:misc_RNA from 1 species